CUUUACCUGUGGAUAAUCUUUCCUCGGGGAUUUGCCCAGAGACCUAUUGUCUAAGAAAUAUACUAAGCAUUACAAAUGUGAAUAUGAACUGUUCAACUCUAGGAUCUUGAGAUACGGAGAAGCAGUGAAGGACACUACAGGUGUUGGCAAGCUCAGAUCAUAAAGUAAAGAGCAAAGGAUGCUGAAGAAGCCCAGUGGAUCCCAGAAAGGUUGGUGCAAUUUGCAGGAGAUGUUUUCUGGAAGGAGGAUGCUCCUGCUGCUGAAAAUGAAUAUAGUCCUGAGGGUGAACAGAGAGCUGCUGCGUUGGGCUUAUGCUCUUGACCCACCUUUGUUUCAUUCUGCUCCUGAGAGAAGAUGUUAUACAGAGAAACCUCUUACAUACAAGGUGACUGGACUUGACUGAUCUGGUAAUGAGGACAAUCCUCAACAAAAUUGGGAAGAAUGAAAAAGACUAUGGGACUUUGGUGGUCUGACUCUGGUUUUCAGCAGAGAUAUAUUUGGAAGCUUGCCAUAGAAACUCUUGGGGAGGCCCUGUAACUGCAUGUAUAAAUGCUCCUUAUGUUUUGUUGUUCAGAAAUGUUAACAUUUUUAAAAUUCUUUAUUAAUUACACUUUAUUCACUUUGUAUCCCCCUGUGGUUCCCUCCCUCCUCCUGUCCCAAUCCCUCCUUUCCUCCCCCAUCUGCUUGCAUGCCCCUCCCCAAGUCCACUGAUAGGGGAGGUCUUCUUUUCCUUCCUUCUGAUCCUAGUCAAUUAGGUCUCAUCAGGAGUGGCUGCAUUGUCCUCUUCUGUGGCCUGGUAAUGCUGCUUCCCCCUCAGGGGGAGAUAAUGAAAGAGCAGGGCAAUCAGUUCAUGUCAGAGGCAGUUCCUGUUCCUAUUACAAUGGAACCCACUUGGAUACUGAACUGCCAUGGGCUACAUCUGUGCAGGGGUCUUGGGUUAUCUCCAUGCAUAGUCCUUGGUUGGAAUAUUAGUCUCAGGAAAGACCCCUGUGCUCAGAUUUUUUGGUUCUGUUGCUCUCCUUGUGGAGUUCCUGUUCUCUCCAGAUCUUACUCUUUCCCACUUUUUUCAUAAGAUUCCCCGAAUUCUGCCCAAAGGUUGGCUAUAAGUCUCAGCUUCUGCUUUGAUAGUCUGCAGGGCAGAGCCUUUCAGAGACCCGCUGUGUCAGGCUCCUAACUUGUUCCCUCUUUUCCCCUUCUUCUGAUGUCCAUCCUCUUUGCCUUUCUGGAUAGGAAUUGAGCAUUUUAGCAAGAGUCCUCCCUCUUGAUUAGUUUCUUUAGGUGUACAUAUUUUAAUAGUCUUAUCCUAUAUUAUAUGUCUAUACGAGUGAGUAUAUACCAUGUGCAUCUUUCUGCUUCUGGGAUAGCUCACUCAGGAUGAUCUUUUCCAGAUCCCACCAUUUGCCUGCAAAUUUCACGAUUUCCUUGUUAAUUCUUAUUUGUUUCAUGACAUUUAUCAUAAAUUAACUCAGUUCAUUAACCUUUCUCAACAGUUGAUGCUCACUGGACUGAAUAUCUGAGGAUCUAUUCUUUAGCAUGAUUUUGCUCACAUAUCUACUUAGAAAUCAAUUCAGGCUUUACUAUUCUCUUCAGUAUUUUCAUAACAACCCAAUUUCAAGUCACUGUGUCUCCUCCCUUCUCAUAGCACAACAUGCUUUCCCUUAAUGUCACUGUAGUGUUACUGUCUUCACUGAAAAGAGCUGAAGCUCCCUUUGAAGGUUUUACUUGUCGCAUACCUGUGGCUCCGAAAGACCAGAGCUGAAAACCUGGGAAGUUCUUUAAUUAACACAAAAGUUGGUAUUUAUUAUUUUUUUGCAUGUGUGUGAAAUCGAAUACCCUAUUAUUUUUAUAUUUGUAUGUUUAUUUUAUAUUUAUUUUCUUAAAGAAUAAAUAUAAUGUGUGCUUUGCAUAUAAAGUAUAGUGAUUUCAAAACUGUAUAAAUAUAAAAGAGUAUGAAAGCUCUGUUUUUUUAUGUAAAGUAUUGUGGGAGAAGAAAUGGUGGUUCCUUAUUACCUGUUUCUUCAGCAUUUUUCAGAUAGGCAUACAUAUCUAACCAACUUGAAGAUGGACCUUGGCUACAGGACUAAGUCCAGAGUUCAAACUCCUGGUUCUUUGGGAUUUUCAGAAAACAACAACAACAACAACAAACAUUACCAGAAUUCUACCCUGGUUUCCUGUAAAACCUAUGAGUAAUUCAUGAUGAGUUGUCUCUAUUUGUUAAGCUCUGAGUUGUCAAAAGAACCAAGGAAAACCAUGCAGGAUGAUGUUAUAGAUUUCUAUUAAAAAUAUUUCAGUUCAGCAUGUUUUCUUCAAGUCUAAAGUAAAGAUGUCUCUGAAACCUUCAUCUGAGAGAAGCAGAAAGGUUCAUAUGUGGAGAAAUGUGUAUGGAUACAGGACCUGCUUGCUCAGGAUGGCUACUGAUAUUUGCGAAAGGUCUCCACCCUGCUGCGGAGGAGUGUCCAGAUCUGCACUACAAGAUAACAUUGGCUGGUAACUGGUCCAGACGUCACAGUUCCCCACCCAGAUCAAGUCGGGACCAGAUGGACUUGACGUCUAAAAUAGACCAAUCAUUUUAAAAGUCAACUACUCUACCCAAUCCAGUGUCGCCAAGCUUGCAACCUCUGAGAUUCCUGCACUCCUUCCUUUAAAAACCUCAGACUUCUGUCUAUUGUUGCUGUUCCUCAUUGGUUUGGGGGAGCAGCCACAUCACACAAUUGCUCAA